CUGUUCUUCUUUCAGUGGCUACUGCAGGUUUGGCAUCCAGGAUGAUUUUCACCUAUGGCAGAUGCUGACCCUAAGUCCCAGAUAACUGGGUUGUUGUCAACAUGUUCCAGGAAAAGGAAAGCAGGAUUGGAUCCAGGAAGAGUUUUAGGGUUCAUGCCAGUGGUCAAACAACUGAUCUGGGGGAAGAGUCCACAGCCAUUGUGAUGGCUGUUAAUCUACCUAUUCAACAGA
rnacentral:lncRNA from 1 species